rnacentral:tRNA from 1 species
GGGCGAGUGGCGGAACGGUUUACGCGCAGCACUCAAAAUGCUGUGGGAGCAAUCCCAUGAGAGUUCGAAUCUCUCCUCGCCCA